UACGUAGGCAGCGAGCGUUGUUCGGAGUUACUGGGCGUAAAGGGUGUGUAGGCGGUUGUUUAAGUUUGGGGUGAAAUCUCCCGGCUCAACUGGGAGGGUGCGCCGAAUACUGAAUGACUUCGAGUGCGGGAGAGGAAAGUGGAAUUCCUGGUGUAGCGGUGAAAUGCGUAGAUAUCAGGAGGAACACCGGUGGCGAAGGCGGCCAUCUGGACGACAACUGACGCUGAGGCGCGAAAGCUAGGGGAGCAAACGGG
rnacentral:rRNA from 1 species